rnacentral:rRNA from 1 species
AAUUCGCCCUUAGAGUUUGAUCAUGGCUCAGGAUGAACGCUGGCGGCGUGCUUAACACAUGCAAGUCGAACGGGGCAUUCCUUCGGGAAUGCUUAGUGGCGCACGGGUGAGUAACACGUAGCUGACCUGCCCUCAAGCGUGGGAUAACGGGUCGAAAGACCUGCUAAUACCGCAUAAGCUCACACACUUUAGAGGCGUGUGAGAAAAGGAGCAAUCCACUUGAGGAGGGGGCUGCGGUCCAUCAGCUAGUUGGUGGGGUAAUGGCCUACCAAGGCGACGACGGGUAGGGGGCCUGAGAGGGUGGUCCCCCACACUGGGACUGAGACACGGCCCAGACUCCUACGGGAGGCAGCAGUGAGGAAUAUUGCGCAAUGGGCGAAAGCCUGACGCAGCGACGCCGCGUGGGUGACGAAGGCCUUCGGGUCGUAAAGCCCUUUUCUGCGUGACGAGAGAGGACGGUAGCGCAGGAACAAGUCUCGGCUAACUACGUGCCAGCAGCCGCGGUAAAACGUAGGAGGCGAGCGUUAUCCGGAGUUACUGGGCGUAAAGAGCGUGUAGGCGGGUAUGCAAGUCUGGCGUGAAAGCUCCCGGCUCAACUGGGAGAGUGCGCUGGAGACUGCGUAUCUAGAGGCGAGUAGAGGGACGUGGAAUUCCGGGUGUAGUGGUGAAAUGCGUAGAGAUCCGGAGGAACACCAGUGGCGAAGGCGACGUCCUGGGCUCGACCUGACGCUGAGACGCGACAGCACGGGGAGCGAACGGGAUUAGAAACCCCGGUAGUCCGUGCCGUAAACGAUGCACACUAGGUGUUCGGGCGACUACGGUCGUUCGAGUGCCGCAGCCAACGCGAUAAGUGUGCCGCCUGGGGAGUACGGUCGCAAGGCUAAAACUCAAAGGAAUUGACGGGGCCCGCACAAGCAGCGGAGCGUGUGGUUUAUUCGAGGCUACGCGANAACCUUACCUGG